rnacentral:rRNA from 1 species
UGACGGGGCCCCGCACAAGCGGCGGAGCAUGCGGCUUAAUUCGACGCAACGCGAAGAACCUUACCAAGGCUUGACAUAUACAAGAAUAUGGCAGAGAUGUCAUAGCCGCAAGGUCUGUAUACAGGUGGUGCAUGGUUGUCGUCAGCUCGUGUCGUGAGAUGUUGGGUUAAGUCCCGCAACGAGCGCAACCCUCGUUCUGUGUUGCCAGCAUUUAGUUGGGGACUCACAGGAGACUGCCGGGGUUAACUCGGAGGAAGGUGGGGAUGACGUCAAAUCAUCAUGCCCCUUAUGUCUUGGGCUGCACGCAUGCUACAAUGGCUGGUACAAACGGCUGCAAUACCGCAAGGUGGAGCGAAUCCGAGAAAGCCAGUCUCAGUUCGGAUUGGGGUCUGCAACUCGACCCCAUGAAGUCGGAGUUGCUAGUAAUCGUAGAUCAGCAACGCUACGGUGAAAACGUUCCCGGGGCUUGUACACACCGCCCGUCACAUCACGAAAGUCGGUACACUCCAAAGUCAGUGCCCAACCGUAAGGAG